rnacentral:tRNA from 1 species
GGGGAUGUAGCUCAGUUGGUAGAGUGUCUGUCUAGCCUUCAGGAGGCCCUGGGUUCGAGCCCCAGCGCCG